rnacentral:rRNA from 1 species
UGGGGAAUUUUGGACAAUGGGCGCAAGCCUGAUCCAGCCAUGCCGCGUGAGUGAAGAAGGCCUUCGGGUUGUAAAGCUCUUUCGGACGGAAAGAAAUCGCGCAGGCCAAUACCCUGCGCGGAUGACGGUACCGUCAUAAGAAGCACCGGCUAACUACGUGCCAGCAGCCGCGGUAAUACGUAGGGUGCGAGCGUUAAUCGGAAUUACUGGGCGUAAAGCGUGCGCAGGCGGUUGAUUAAGACAGGCGUGAAAUCCCCGGGCUUAACCUGGGAACUGCGCUUGUGACUGGUCAGCUAGAGUACGGCAGAGGGGGGUGGAAUUCCACGUGUAGCAGUGAAAUGCGUAGAGAUGUGGAGGAACACCGAUGGCGAAGGCAGCCCCCUGGGCCGAUACUGACGCUCAUGCACGAAAGCGUGGGUAGCAAACAGGAUUGGAAACCCGGGUAG